CAUUCUCAGAGUUUGGCCCAGAGAGGAAGCAAUCCUUACCGCCCUUACUACCACUGUGCAAAAACCUAUUGAUAUCUCCAAAAUUCUGGAUACUAAACCCAGGAAAGGAGAGGGGGUAGAAGAACUUUUGGAGAGAUUGUCAGAGAUAUACAUCAGUCAGUCAGGGGAUGCUAGGUAUGGAGAUGGUCAGAAUUCACCCUAGUACUGUGCUAUCCUAGUACAUUGUCUCCCAGCUACUGUCGCAGAGGCAAUACAAACUAACAAUAUGGACUGGACUGACAAUUCUCAGAGCCAAAUGGCUUGUGCAGUUAAACGAUGCUUUAAUUGUAUCCAGCAAGGCCAUUGGAGUA